rnacentral:lncRNA from 1 species
ACACCCCAGGUGCCCGCAGCGGCAGCAGCGAGUUAGGCCUGCGUCUCCGCGCACUGGCUGGCUCUGGGCUGGGAAGUUUCAAGUUCCAGGCGGUCUGCAUUCCCUUCUCCCCCUUCACACACUUAACCCUACCUUGUCUGGUCAAGAGAGAUCCAGACAAAAUCAACCUUCUGCGUCAAGAGCCGCAUCCGGCUGCCUCAGAGGUACAGAGUCUGUUCCUGGCUCCACCUGGCUUUCACCAUAAACUAGAACCAGCGGCCAAGACCCCAGAUGCUGCGGCUUUGCAAGGGUCGUUGACCCCAGGAGGGCAGGAACGGCACCAGGUUGGGAGUCUGCAAGUGUGUGUGGGGUGUGACAUUCAUCUCACAUGCACAGAGCACACAAGGAGUAAACAAUUCUCAUCCUUGGGUA